rnacentral:lncRNA from 10 species
CCUUCCGGCAGCAAGCACAUCAUAGAGACUUUCCCAGAUCAAGCAAAAGUGGGGACAGUAUUGAGGAUGUAGCUUCUCCUUCCGCACGCACUGUUGGGCCUGACCUCUGCCUGCAGGGCUGGGACGAGGCAGAACUUGCUCUUGGGGCAGCGCAAGUUAGGGGGUCACCCCUGGGAGUGGGCACUUCCUGGAACAAUUCACCCUGAAAAUCUCAUGCCUCGCCCGCCCCAGGCCUGCCCCUGACCUAGAACCUCAAUUUUACUUUCUCAACUCUAAACAGGGCUUGCACUUCUGGGCUUGCCUUAAUCUGCACUUCUGGGUGUAAACCUCCACUCACUCUGAAGGCAUUUACUAAGAGCCUGUUGUGCUUCAGCACUUGUGUAAGAUCCCGGAGACGCCAUUUAGAAGUUUACAGACCAGCAGUGCAAACAUAUAACUUCUUACAGAAGAAAAGGAGAAGGAGGAAGAAAGAGGUGGCAGUACGCGGGUUAUGACAUCAUUCCAGAGACAUCUUAUCUAAAUCCUCAUAACAGAUGUUUGAGGAAAGGUGAAACUAAGACAUAAGCUUCUUAGAAGUAUUGUCAAACCAUUGUAAUCUCUUCCAACAUAUUUCACCAGUGCAUGCUCCGCACAGGGUGGCCCAGCACGCCGCAUGUUAUCAACACUCACCAGAUACUGCUCUGAACUGCUGAAGUGCAGGUGACUUUGAAACAGAGAAAGGAAUCUUUUGUGCUUAAGGAGAAUGGCAGUGCACAAACCGCUGAAUGUUCAGAAGAAAAUGCACUAUCAAUUAGGAUGCAUCUUAUCUGUGUGCUUUUUUUUUUCUUAAAGAAGAAAGCCAAAGGUCAUUAAAUGAUCCAUCUGGAAGGAAUCCUGCCAUCACAUUGCACAUUUUCCUACUUUCCCAGGAGCUUGCACAUGAGUGUCCCAGGAAGAGCAUUGUCUGCUCAUCCCUCAGUUAUCCAGGAAAACUCAAAUUUUAAAUACUUCAAGAGCAGUGGCUGCCACUUCCUUGCAGUCUGUUGGUAUUGAUCACCAAAAAGAGAUGUGUUUAUUAGGGACCUUUCCUUUCAGGGAUUUUGAUACACAAAUACUUGGCCCUGUGUUACAACUGCCUACAGUAUUCAGCACAGCCACAAGCUGCACAGGUUUGCCUAACAGUCAUGGCUUCUUGAGGAUCCUUGAGUCAAAACAAUAACAACAAAAAUUAAAGCAAGCAAACAAA